rnacentral:tRNA from 1 species
GUCGGUGUAGCUCAGUGGAUAGAGCAAAUCUCUCCUAAAGAUUAGGUCGUGGGUUCGAUUCCCUCCACCGACG